UACAGAGGUCUCAAGCGUUGUUCGGAUUCAUUGAGCGUAAAGGGUGCGUAGGUGGCGGGGUAAGUCAGGUGUGAAAUCUCGGAGCUCAACUCCGAAACUGCACUUGAUACUGCCUUGCUCGAGUACUGGAGAGGAGAUUGGAAUUUACGGUGUAGCAGUGAAAUGCGUAGAUAUCGUAAGGAAGACCAGUGGCGAAGGCGAAUCUCUGGACAGUUACUGACACUGAGGCACGAAGGCCAGGGGAGCAAACAGG
rnacentral:rRNA from 1 species